rnacentral:rRNA from 1 species
GACGAACGCUGGCGGCGUGCUUAACACAUGCAAGUCGAACGGGAGUAUUGAAGAAGCUUGCUUUAGAGAUACUUUAGUGGCGGACGGGUGAGUAACGCGUGAGGAGCUGUCCGAUGCAGGGGGACAACAGUUGGAAACGACUGCUAAUACCCCAUAAGCCGAGAGGUAAAAGGAUUUAUCCGGCAAUGGAGGUAUUCGCGUCCUAUCAGCUAGUAGGUGAGGUAACGGCUCACCUAGGCGAAGACGGGUAGCCGGCCUGAGAGGGCGAACGGCCACACUGGAACUGAGAUACGGUCCAGACUCCUACGGGAGGCAGCAGUGGGGAAUAUUGGGCAAUGGGGGGAACCCUGACCCAGCGACGCCGCGUGGGUGAAGAAAACCUUCGGGAUGUAAAGCCCUGUUGUAUGGGAAGAGCGGAAGACGGUACCAUACGAGGAAGCCCCGGCAAACUACGUGCCAGCAGCCGCCGUAA